CUACUAUUUUGAGUGCUACUAUUAUUGAAUGUAGCUUUUUAAUAUUUACUCAUUUAAAAUUAUAUUUGAUAUGUAUAGGCCAAAAUGACUUUGUAACUAAUUUUAGUAACAGAGUUAGGAAUGUCGGUGAAGCUUAUGCCUAGGAAUGUCGGUCUUCAAUGACGGCCGUAAGAGCUGCAAGAAACAAAUACCUGCUAAAGAUUUUAGCCAAAAAAUAAACUUUGUUGUUCCUCACAAGGAAGUUAGCUAAUCUGAAUCCAAGAAGCAUUUCAACAUGGAUGUUUGAUCCCUCCAAGGAAGCAAGUUAGUCAAACAUAUAGGACUAUUGACGAGUUUUUGGCUUCGUGAAUAUAAUUGUUCAUGAAUUCUCUGACAGUCUGAGAUGAGGAUCAUUGUAUUACACUAAUAAAAGUAGUUGUAGGGUUUGGAUUUCAAAGUUAUGAAGGUGGCAUAGAGGAAAUUUAAUUCCUCUAAAUACGUUGAAAAUAUCUAAAGUCACGUUGUACUAAAGAAUUUACUAUAAACAUUAUUCCUAUAUCAAUUUGAAACAAUAGUUCAAUAUGGCAUAAUGACUUA